GAUGAACGCUAGCGGCAGGCUUAAUACAUGCAAGUCGAGGGGUAGCAAGAUUGUAGCCAUACAAUUGUUGACGACCGGCAAACGGGUGCGGAACACGUACACACCCUUCCUACAAGUCGGGAAUAGCCCAGAGAAAUUGGGAUUAAUACUCCGUAACCUAGCGAUUCGGAUUCACAUUGGUAUUAUUGUUGCUGAGCUUGUUGAUUGGUGUGCGGUUGAUUAGAUAGUUGGCGGGGUAACGGCCCACCAAGUCUACGAUCAGUAGCUGAUGUGAGAGCAUGAUCAGCCACACGGUCACUGAGACACGGGCCCGACUCCUACGGGAGGCAGCAGUAAGGAAUAUUGGACAAUGGACGCAAGUCUGAUCCAGCCAUGCCGCGUGAAGGAUUAAGGUCCUCUGGAUUGUAAACUUCUUUUAUAAGGGACGAAAAAAGGUCUUUCUAGAUCGUCUGACGGUACCUUAUGAAUAAGCACCGGCUAACUCCGUGCCAGCCGCCGCGGUAAAAC
rnacentral:rRNA from 1 species